rnacentral:rRNA from 1 species
GAUGAACGCUGGCGGCGUGCUUAACACAUGCAAGUCGAACGAUGAUGCCCAGCUUGCUGGGUGGAUUAGUGGCGAACGGGUGAGUAACACGUGAGUAACCUGCCCUUGACUCUGGGAUAAGCCUGGGAAACUGGGUCUAAUACCGGAUACGACCAUCUGGCGCAUGUCAUGGUGGUGGAAAGCUUUUGUGGUUUUGGAUGGACUCGCGGCCUAUCAGCUUGUUGGUGGGGUAAUGGCCUACCAAGGCGACGACGGGUAGCCGGCCUGAGAGGGUGACCGGCCACACUGGGACUGAGACACGGCCCAGACUCCUACGGGAGGCAGCAGUGGGGAAUAUUGCACAAUGGGCGCAAGCCUGAUGCAGCGACGCCGCGUGAGGGAUGACGGCCUUCGGGUUGUAAACCUCUUUCAGUAGGGGAGAAGCGAAAGUGACGGUACCUGCAGAAGAAGCGCCGGCUAACUACGUG